UGCAUGAAGUCGGAAUCGCUAGUAAUCGCGAGUCAGCAUAUCGCGGUGAAUACGUUCCCGGGUCUUGUACACACCGCCCGUCACACCAUGGGAGUUGGCAACACCCGAAGUCGAUGAGCUAACCUUUAGGAGGCAGUCGCCUAAGGUGGGGUUGAUAACUGGGUGAAGUCGUAACAAGGUACC
rnacentral:rRNA from 1 species